CCAGACUCCUACGGGAGGCAGCAGUGGGGGAUAUUGCACAAUGGGGGGAACCCUGAUGCAGCGACGCCGCGUGGGUGAAGAAGCGCCUCGGCGCGUAAAGCCCUGUCAGCAGGGAAGAAAAUGACGGUACCUGAAGAAGAAGCCCCGGCUAACUACGUGCCAGCAGCCGCGGUAAUACGUAGGUGGCAAGCGUUGUCCGGAUUUACUGGGUGUAAAGGGAGCGUAGGCGGCCUGCCAAGUCUGGUGUGAAAUGCCGGGGCUCAACCCCGGGGCUGCAUUGGAAACUGGCAGGCUGGAGUGUCGGAGAGGCAGGCGGAAUUCCUAGUGUAGCGGUGAAAUGCGUAGAUAUUAGGAGGAACACCAGUGGCGAAGGCGGCCUGCUGGACGAUGACUGACGCUGAGGCUCGAAAGCGUGGGGAGCAAACAGGAUUAGAUACCCCGGUAU
rnacentral:rRNA from 1 species